GACGAACGCUGGCGGCGUGCUUAACACAUGCAAGUCGAACGGAAAGGCCCUGCUUUUGUGGGGUGCUCGAGUGGCGCACGGGUGAGUAACACGUGAGUAACCUGCCCUUGACUUUGGGAUAACUUCAGGAAACUGGGGCUAAUACCGGAUAGGAGCUCCUGCUGCAUGGUGGGGGUUGGAAAGUUUCGGCGGUUGGGGAUGGACUCGCGGCUUAUCAGCUUGUUGGUGGGGUAGUGGCUUACCAAGGCUUUGACGGGUAGCCGGCCUGAGAGGGUGACCGGGCACAUUGGGACUGAGAUACGGCCCAGACGCCUACGGGAGGCAGCAGGGGGGAAUAUUGCACAAUGGGCGGAAGCCUGAUGCAGCAACGCCGCGUGCGGGAUGACGGCCUUCGGGUUGUAAACCGCUUUCGCCUGUGACGAAGCGUGAGUGACGGUAAUGGGUAAAGAAGCACCGGCUAACUACGUG
rnacentral:rRNA from 1 species